UAAAAGAUUCAGCUGCUGUUGACAAAUACACUAGGGAUUCACAGCUGCUUUCCGCCGACCAGAGUUCGGUGGUUCACGAGAGGCAGUAAUGUUUGUUUGGCAAUUAUUGUUGCAUUAUACGUCCAGUUGACGCCAUGUGCUGAGGAGCGGCGACCUGGGCUUCGGAGAAGAUAUCAUUGAACUUGGCCUCAUAUAUGAGCGACUUUUGACUUGGCACUUGAAGUGAAUAUGAAGUGGUGGUGCAGGUCGGGAAGUGGAGAAGGUGAGCUGGCUACUGUACGUGCUGCUGCUGUUGGCAUGGGUCCUCCUCCCCUUCCUCUCCUGGUUCAUCAUCGUCUCCGUCACCGUCGCCUUCACCAACUGCAUAGAGUUCCUUAUAGGAGAAGCUGCUUUAGCUGCAGUGACUAAUGGCGUCGGUACAUUGUUCAUAGCAGUACAAGCCUAUCGCGGUAUCCUCUUCUGACGUCGACUGUGAUGAGACUGACAUGGACGCCCCCUGCAGCGUUGACGCUCUCAAUACAGACCAAGCUGCCUCCUCUUCACCACACUUCUCCAGCCAUACACAAAUGAUUCAUGCCUUUUUUUUGCCGUAUACAGACUGCAUUAAGUGAUCGCAUACGCCAUUCACCACCAGAUGGCAGCCACCAUGACUGAAGUAACGGCACUUCAAGCGCCUAAAUUAUUCCUAGGCAUCUAUUGAGGCUUUUUACCGGCUGUGUACUCCAUCGCCGGCGUCUUGGCUGUCGGAGAGCAGCAGCCUCUUGACGUCAGUCAGCCCUGUGCCCGCGUCACGUCAGUCAGCCCUGUGCCCGAGUCACCCACUCCUCCAUCAUUGAUCGUGAAGCCUGCAAGUACAUCUCGACCAUUUAUCUGGCUGUCAGUGUGUAUACAUAUAGAUAAUGGUUAGUGUGAAUUAGGAUAAUGAAUAGCAUUAUCACUGCAAUAAAUAUGACAAUGUUGAACAUGUACAAUUUGUUUUGCUUUUCUUUCAUGCAUCUGGAGCGACACUGUAUAUUUACUUGAGGGGCCACCAUCCCUAGUGGCCUCUACCGGGACAGAACCGGCGUUUUGUCAAAUGUCUUCGUCCAACAUUUUCCUGAUAAUUUAUCCAGCUGGACUGGAUAAAUUAUCAGGAAACUGCAGAAAUGCCUUGGCAUUUACGGCUUCGGUGGGUGAGCGAUUCCCCUGGAUUUAUAACCCUAUGGGUGAGAAAGCAUCUGUUUCCUGUCCUGGAUUGUGGUUUAUUAAGCCUUGAGAUGUAGUUGGUCCCAAAAUUUCAAGAAGGUACCAAAAUUAUUCCGGAACUCGUUCAAAGAAAGGAAACUAGUUGGAUGACACAGGCAACUAAGCCUUGACAACUAAGCAGAACUUCUGGAAAAACGUAUAAAUCCACAAUGUACAACGUUGAUUAUGAGAUAUACAGAAGGUCACUAAACUCGGCCACCCAAGAAAUCAGAUCAGUUGUCCAUGCAUCGGACAGUACAUGUCAGUUGAUCUGUGUAUGAGAUGUCUGGAGUGGAAUCUGCACUUAUUGAAUAAUACUUUGACUCUUUUCAACAAAAUUUCAAGAGUAGUACAAAGAACCUGUUGUCCCAUUAAUUCAAUAAAUGCCUCACAAAUAUUUUCCAGGUUUUCCAUACAUUUUUAGAUGUUCUUCUAAGAAAGGGUCAAAUUCACUCAGCAGCUCUAGUAGACCAAAAUAGUUGCCAUUAUUUGCUGAUACAAUAAUCAGAUUUUCUCCACGAAAUGGCAUAUCUCUAGAGGCACGAAAGCGAAUUACAGAAACCACACGUGUCAACACUUUAUGCCAAUAUUCCUGCUCUGAGGAAUGUUACUCAUGUAAUAAAGAAUCUAUACUUCCAGUUUCUUUAUGCCUUAUCACACAUGCUGUCAUGCACUUUCGAUGUUCUUCAUUUUCACGUUCUACAAUAACAUUGCUGUGCUUCCAGUCAUUGAACCCCGAUGUAGCAAAGGGAGAUUCUUUCUUGUAUAAUAGGCGACAUACAAAGCAGUACAAACGACCAAGGGAUGGCAAACAGAGUAGCCAAUCACAUACUGGCCAUUCCACAGUUCACGUUUGAACACAUUGUUUGAUAAAUACCUUACCUUCAUAUUCUCUACUCUAGCUAUUUUAUACACUCUGCGUGAGUUUGAAAGGUUGCUAUCAUAAUUCUGACAUGAAUGGCCCACUACGAAUCCAGUAAUCUAUUGUGUUAGUAUCAUUAAUGUUCCAUAACCCCGGAUCUCUCUCCUGGAUCGCCCUUGCUAAGGCUGCAGUAAAUAAAGACAGUAUUGAAUGGAAUCUUGAGUUAUCAA
rnacentral:lncRNA from 1 species